AUGAACGCUGGCGGCGUGCCUCAUACAUGCAAGUCGAGCGAACAGACGAGGAGCUUGCUCCUCUGACGUUCGCGGCGGACGGGUGAGUAACACGUGGAUAACCUACCUAUAAGACUGGGAUAACUUCGGGAAACCGGAGCUAAUACCGGAUAAUAUAUUGAACCGCAUGGUUCAAUAGUGAAAGACGGUUUUGCUGUCACUUAUAGAUGGAUCCGCGCCGCAUUAGCUAGUUGGUAAGGUAACGGCUUACCAAGGCAACGAUGCGUAGCCGACCUGAGAGGGUGAUCGGCCACACUGGAACUGAGACACGGUCCAGACUCCUACGGGAGGCAGCAGUAGGGAAUCUUCCGCAAUGGGCGAAAGCCUGACGGAGCAACGCCGCGUGAGUGAUGAAGGUCUUCGGAUCGUAAAACUCUGUUAUUAGGGAAGAACAAAUGUGUAAGUAACUAUGCACGUCUUGACGGUACCUAACCAGAAAGCCACGGCUAACUACGUG
rnacentral:rRNA from 1 species